rnacentral:rRNA from 1 species
GACGAACGCUGGCGGCGCGCCUAACACAUGCAAGUCGAACGAGAGAUGAGGAGCUUGCUCUUCAGAUCGAGUGGCGAACGGGUGAGUAACGCGUGAGGAACCUGCCUCAAAGAGGGGGACAACAGUUGGAAACGACUGCUAAUACCGCAUAAGCCCACGGCUCGGCAUCGAGCAGAGGGAAAAGGAGCAAUCCGCUUUGAGAUGGCCUCGCGUCCGAUUAGCUAGUUGGUGAGGUAACGGCCCACCAAGGCGACGAUCGGUAGCCGGACUGAGAGGUUGAACGGCCACAUUGGGACUGAGACACGGCCCAGACUCCUACGGGAGGCAGCAGUGGGGAAUAUUGCACAAUGGGGGAAACCCUGAUGCAGCGACGCCGCGUGGAGGAAGAAGGUCUUCGGAUUGUAAACCUCUGUUGACGGAGAAAAAAUGAUGGUAUCCGUUUAGAAAG